CUUUUGGAGUGGAUUAGCGGCGGACGGGUGAGUAACACGUGGGUAACCUGCCUCAUAGAGGGGAAUAGCCUUCCGAAAGGGAGAUUAAUACCGCAUAACAUAACUUUAUCGCAUGGUAGAGUUAUCAAAGGAGUAAUCCGCUAUGAGAUGGACCCGCGGCGCAUUAGCUAGUUGGUGAGGUAACGGCUCACCAAGGCGACGAUGCGUAGCCGACCUGAGAGGGUGAUCGGCCACAUUGGAACUGAGACACGGUCCAGACUCCUACGGGAGGCAGCAGUGGGGAAUAUUGCGCAAUGGGGGAAACCCUGACGCAGCAACGCCGCGUGAGUGAAGAAGGCCUUAGGGUUGUAAAGCUCUGUCAUAUGGGAAGAUAAUGACGGUACCAUAAGAGGAAGCCACGGCUAACUACGUGCCAGCAGCCGCGGUAAUACGUAGGUGGCGAGCGUUGUCCGGAUUUACUGGGCGUAAAGGAUGCGUAGGCGGAUAUUUAAGUGGGAUGUGAAAUACCCGAGCUCAACUUGGGUGCUGCAUUCUAAACUGGAUAUCUAGAGUGUCGGAGAGGAAAGCGGAAUUCCUAGUGUAGCGGUGAAAUGCGUAGAGAUUAGGAAGAACACCAGUGGCGAAGGCGGCUUUCUGGACGAUAACUGACGCUGAGGCAUG
rnacentral:rRNA from 1 species